rnacentral:rRNA from 1 species
UGAGCGGAGAUAUAUGGAGCUUGCUUUAUAUAACUUAGCAGCGAACGGGUGAGUAACACGUAGAUAAUCUAUCCUAUACUGGGGGAUAGCCCGAUGAAAGUUGGAUUAAUACCGCAUAUAGCUAUAUAGUUGCAUGAUUAUGUAGUGAAAGAUUUAUUGGUAUAGGAGGAGUCUGCGGCACAUUAGCUAGUAGGUGAGGUAAAGGCUUACCUAGGCGACGAUGUGUAGCCGGUCUGAGAGGAUGAACGGCCACAAUGGAACUGAGACACGGUCCAUACUCCUACGGGAGGCAGCAGUGGGGAAUAUUGCACAAUGGGGGAAACCCUGAUGCAGCAACGCCGCGUGAGUGAAGAAGGUUUUCGGAUUGUAAAGCUCUGUUAGCAGGGAAGAGGAAGGACGGUACCUGCAGAGGAAGCCACGGCUAACUACGUGCCAGCAGCCGCGGUAAUACGUAGGUGGCAAGCGUUGUUCGGAAUAACUGGGCGUAAAGGAUGCGUAGGCGGUUAAACAAGUUAUAUGUUAAAUAUAUAGGCUUAACCUGUAGAAAGCAUAUAAAACUGUUUAACUAGGGUGCAGGAGAGGUAAGUGGAAUUCCUAGUGUAGCGGUGAAAUGCGUAGAGAUUAGGAAGAACACCAGUGGCGAAGGCGACUUACUGGACUGUAACUGACGCUGAGGCAUGAGAGCAUGGGGAGCAAACAGGAUUAGAUACCCUGGUAGUCCAUGCUGUAAACGAUGGGUAC